UGCACUACUGAAACUCUACAAAACAUGGUCCAGCUGUGAGAAAAAGGGUCGGAUCUGAAGUCCUGAGGAGCGUGUCUUGAAGCAGAACACUUCUGCAGAGCUCAUCUCUCACUGUUCUAAUCUCUCUGGGCACACAGAUAUUCAAGAGUAAUCUUGCAUUGUUUGUGGCAAAACAAAGUGCCUGCCCUGAGAGCUAGAGCUCAGGGAAGUGCCAUCUCCUGGGAACACUCUGCUACUAGAGCUGGAAUGCAAAGAAACUCAGGAUCAUUGGGACCAGACCAGUUACAGAUACAGGGGCAAAAAGGACACUGCAGUGUUCAGCCAGAGGUGUCAGGUCUGGAUGAAGCAGCUGAAUUUGGCAAUUUGCACUUGGGAAAUGCUGACCACCCUCAGAGCAAACAGAAACCAACAGCACAGGCUCAGGAGAUGAGGCCUCUCUUUUUCCCCUGUCCACAGGUUAACUCAGUAACACUGGAUGUAUAGAGAGGCUCAGGAAUAUGCUCGUGUUUUCUGAGUAAUUCAAGAUUCAGUUUUCACACUGCAGAUCCACCCAAGACAACCACAGCCCCUUUUCCAGGCAUUUCAAUGACAUCACAAGUAACAUUAUUUGGAAAAUGCACACCAAGUACAGUACACAGCACAUACAGCUGUUGUAUUCCUGCCCUGCUCUGCUGGUACAUUAAUGCCUUCUUUUCCUUCCACACCCACUGAGCACUUCCCUCCUGCAGGCAUCCCUGCUUCGGUACUGUUUCAAAAUCUCCUCCUUGUCUCUUGACAAUUCCUAUUCAGUUCCUGCCCUGAAACCUACAUUUGUGACAAUUUAGGAAGAAGCUUCAGUGUUGGCAUAAUUUGAGACCCACUACGAUGCUGGUGAAGCAGAUGCACUGUAGCUGUCAGAAGAGAAAGCUGCAGCAAUGUGAAGCCCUUUCCUUGCUCUUUCUCCCAAGCAAUUGAAUUCAGCUGAAGAGUUAAAUAAAAACCCAACAGGGUCCAUUA